CUCCGGUUGAUCCUGCCGGACCUGACUGCUAUCGGAUUGGUACUAAGCCAUGCGAGUCAUUGUAGCAAUACAAGGCGGACGGCUCAGUAACACGUAGUCAACCUAACUCGUGGACGUGGAUAACCUCGGGAAACUGAGAAUAAACCACGAUAGAUCAUAGUGCCUGGAAUGGCUUAUGGUCCAAACAGUUUACUGCCAUGGGAUGGGACUGCGGCCUAUCAGCUUGUUGGCGAGGUAAUGGCCCACCAAGGCGAUUACAGGUACGGGCUCUGAGAGGAGAAGCCCGGAGAUGGGUACUGAGACACGGACCCAGGCCCUAUGGGGCGCAGCAGGCGAGAAACCUUAGCAAUGUGCGAAAGCACGACUGGGUCAGUCCGAGUGAUUCCUGAUAAAGGAGUCUUUUGCUUGUCCUAAAAGCACAGGUGAAUAAGGGGUGGGCAAGUCUGGUGUCAGCCGCCGCGGUAAUACCAGCACCUCGAGUGGUCAGGACGUUUAUUGGGCCUAAAGCAUCCGUAGCCGGCUUUGCAAGUCUUCGGUUAAAUCCACCUGCUCAACAGAUGGGCCGCUGGAGAUACUACAGAGCUAGGGAGUGGGAGAGGCAGACGGUAUUCAGUGGGUAGGGGUAAAAUCCUCUGAUCCAUUGAGGACCACCAGUGGCGAAGGCGGUCUGCCAGAACACGUUCGACGGUGAGGGAUGAAAGCUGGGGGAGCAAACCGGAUUAGAUACCCGGGUAGUCCCAGCUGUAAACGAUGCAAACUCGGUGAUGCAUUGGCUUAUGGCCAAUGCAGUGCCGCAGGGAAGCCGUUAAGUUUGCCGCCUGGGAAGUACGGACGCAAGUCUGAAACUUAAAGGAAUUGGCGGGGGAGCA
rnacentral:rRNA from 1 species